CAAAGCGUAGUUUAAUCAAAACAUCUCGCUUACACCGAGAAUAUACCUGCUAAAACCAGGUCGCCUUGA
rnacentral:tRNA from 1 species